rnacentral:rRNA from 1 species
UACGAAGGUCCCGAGCGUUGUUCGGAAUCACUGGGCGUAAAGGGAGCGUAGGCGGCAUGGUAAGUCAGAUGUGAAAUCCCGGGGCUCAACCCCGGAACUGCAUCCGAUACUGCCUUGCUUGAGGGUUGGAGAGGUGACUGGAAUUCUCGGUGUAGCAGUGAAAUGCGUGGAUAUCGAGAGGAACACCAGUGGCGAAGGCGAGUCCCUGGACACUUCCUGACACUGAGGCACGAAAGCUAGGG